rnacentral:rRNA from 1 species
AUACGGAGGGUGCAAGCGUUACUCGGAAUCACAGGGCGUAAAGCGCGCGCAGGCGGCUAUUUAAGUUGGAUGUGAAAGCCUACGGCUCAACCGUAGAACUGCAUCCAAAACUAUUUAGCUAGAGUGUGGGAGAGGAAGAUGGAAUUAGUUGUGUAGGGGUAAAAUCCGUAGAGAUAACUAGGAAUACCAAAAGCGAAGGCAAUCUUCUGGAACACUACUGACGCUGAGGCGCGAAAGCGUGGGGAGCAAACAGGAUUAGAAACCCUAGUAGUCC